UACGGAGGGGGCUAGCGUUGUUCGGAAUUACUGGGCGUAAAGCGUGCGCAGGCGGUUGGCAAAGUCAGCUGUGAAAGCCCCGGGCUUAACCUGGGAAUGGCGGUUGAAACUAGUCGACUCGAAUCUGGCAGAGGGGGGUGGAAUUCCACGUGUAGCAGUGAAAUGCGUAGAGAUGUGGAGGAACACCGAUGGCGAAGGCAGCCCCCUGGGCUGAGAUUGACGCUCAGGCACGAAAGCGUGGGGAGCAAACAGG
rnacentral:rRNA from 1 species